UACCCCCGAUUGGGAUCCAGCCAUGAAGUCCAUUAGAGCAUCAGAUGCAGUGAGGUCAAAUCAAUUGUCCAUACUGCAGACAAGGACGGGCAAUAAUAAUUGACUGAAGCAAUCACUGCUGUGGGAAAACAAACGUCCUGGCCGUGUCGCAUCUGAAGGUCAUGCCUGAUGACAUAUGCCACGGCAUCUCUCUGACUCCUGCGCUCCCUGAGUUAACUGCAAGAAACCAGAGAGAAAAUGAGGUUCUGUGCCAGGGACUGUGUAUUCCUCCCCCCCUGAACAGCUCCACUCUGGCCCUGAUGAGUGUCCCAUGAGCUGAUGUGCAUAUGAUGUGCCCACCUCUGCCAGGCAGGACUUCUCUCUUUUAGCUUUUCUUCCUGAAGCUUUUCUACAUUUAUAUUCAAAUCUCCAUGAAAGAAGCUAAAGAAAUGAAAGCUCAGGAAGAAAAGAAACAUCAUCUUGCAAGUGAGGAAUAAUGCUUUUACACCCAGUUCAGUUACAGAGACUUCAUAUUCCUGCUAAAGAAGAAAAAGCCAGUUGCCCUGCAGUACUGUAAGAGUUACCAAUUUCCCAUCUCCAGGGAAUAGCAACAAAAAAAUGCAUUAGAUGUCCUGAGAAGGUUGAAUGCCUUUCAGCUGAAUCAUCACACCAGAAUUAUAAAAUUUUAAGAGCUAUACUACACAGAAUUAUUUUGCAUUGAAAAGAUAUGCUUAGAGCAUACAACACACUCGUUCCCAGUGUGUUAUUUGAUUAAAAAGAAACCUGUUGAAAUAUGUUCUCUUUUCUGUGGUAUUG